rnacentral:rRNA from 1 species
AGAGUUUGAUCCUGGCUCAGGAUGAACGCUGGCGGCGUGCAUAAUACAUGCAAGUCGAGCGAACCACUUCGGUGGUGAGCGGCGAACGGGUGAGUAACACGUAGGUGAUCUGCCCAUCAGACGGGGACAACGAUUGGAAACGAUCGCUAAUACCGGAUAGGACGAAAGUUUAAAGGUGCUUCGGCACCACUGAUGGAUGAGCCUGCGGCGCAUUAGCUAGUUGGUAGGGUAAAGGCCUACCAAGGCGACGAUGCGUAGCCGACCUGAGAGGGUGAACGGCCACACUGGGACUGAGACACGGCCCAGACUCCUACGGGAGGCAGCAGUAGGGAAUCUUCGGCAAUGGGCGAAAGCCUGACCGAGCAACGCCGCGUGAAUGAUGAAGGCCUUCGGGUUGUAAAAUUCUGUUAUAAGGGAAGAAUGACUCUAGUAGGAAAUGGCUAGAGUGUGACGGUACCUUAUGAGAAAGCCACGGCUAACUACGUGCCAGCAGCCGCGGUAAUACGUAGGUGGCGAGCGUUAUCCGGAAUUAUUGGGCGUAAAGAGCGCGCAGGUGGUUGAUUAAGUCUGAUGUGAAAGCCCACGGCUUAACCGUGGAGGGUCAUUGGAAACUGGUCAACUUGAGUGCAGAAGAGGGAAGUGGAAUUCCAUGUGUAGCGGUGAAAUGCGUAGAGAUAUGGAGGAACACCAGUGGCGAAGGCGGCUUCCUGGUCUGUAACUGACACUGAGGCGCGAAAGCGUGGGGAGCAAACAGGAUUAGAUACCCUGGUAGUCCACGCCGUAAACGAUGAGUGCUAAGUGUUGGGGGUCGAACCUCAGUGCUGAAGUUAACGCAUUAAGCACUCCGCCUGGGGAGUACGGUCGCAAGACUGAAACUCAAGGAAUUGACGGGGACC